UCAGCCCCACGUGGCCACGGCUUAGAUGGCCCAGCCACGCCCAGUGCCCCCAUCCACCACCAUGCCCUAGCCCCACCGGCCAGGAGCAUCUUCUCCAACUUCCUGUGCCCAUGCCGCCAGGAAGAGCAGUGCCCGCCUCACAUCUCGGCCAGUUCAACCCCCCAAUUGCCCCCUUCCAUGCGCAGAAACCACCUCCACCGCCCAUCGCCCAGACCGCUAAUGCCCACACACGCAAUGCUCAGAGUUGCCCUCGCCUAGGUAGCCCCCACCUGCGUCGAUCUCUUCCCGCCAUGCACGAAGUCGUCCUCACCUCACCGGAGCAUCACCUUGCCAUCUAUGCACGGAAGCGCUCUCCAUUUCUGUCAAGUCUCGUUCUAAGGUUGUCCCCACUGCAACCAAUGCUCAGGAGAAUAUGAAUGCAAUGAGGUGGAUUUCUAGGACUUCCAGGACUUCGAGGAGUUCUAGACUUAGAUUAGCUCAAUCCCCAGUCAGUUGCCUGUGGAAGGCCUUUAUCUUAGCUACAUUCUGUUUCUAGCACUUUGAUACAUGUUAAGUCAAUGACUAUGUGGACGUCUUUGACAUAUGGUUGUAAUAAGUUUAAUACUCUUUAUGUUAUUAUUCGAGCACUGCACAAUGAUGUUCA